rnacentral:lncRNA from 1 species
GGGAGAGAGAGAGAAAAAGAAAAGGAAGGAAGGAAGAAAGAAAGAGAGAAACUAGAAAACAAAGCAAGUGCUAAUAAACGGGUAUAGGCCAGUUUAUCUUGAUGUGCAUGAAGUCACCUGGCAAUUGGAUGAAAUGCAGAAGAGGCUUGGGAUUCUGCAUCUUUAACAAGCCCCCAAGUGAUGUUGAUAUUGCUAACCCUGAACUGCACUUUGAAUAAAGAGAAUCUUGACCACAGAGUACCAAGGAAAGCAUAAACCUCUUUAGGUUUAGAACUGAUGAAUGAGCACUUAAAAUAGCGACUUGGACCAUUGGAACUUUUAUUUUGCGUCUUCUCUAAAAAAAUAAUCGUUACUUGCUGGAAAAAAAUCUGAAGGUGAGAAGAGUGUAUAGUCUUUUCCUUGGUGACUAACUUAACUUUUAAAACUUCAUUGAUUCAUUUAUUCCUCUAAAAUUAAUUGAGUACCUCCUAUGUGCCAGGUACUUUUUCAGAUAGGAGGAUGCCAAGAGAAGAAAAGCAUUUUCUCUGUCUUCAAAGAGGAAAAGAUGAGCAUAGUGAAUUUCGGGUGUUGUAUUUAUUCAGCUUGGACGUUUAAAAGAUACUUGGCUUUCCCAUACUAUCUUGACAUGCAUUUUGCUGUUACUUCUACCUGGGAUGCUGGCACUGCCCACCACACACUGUUGAAGACUCAGUUCAG